rnacentral:rRNA from 1 species
UACGAAGGGGGCUAGCGUUGCUCGGAAUUACUGGGCGUAAAGGGCGCGUAGGCGGACAGUUUAGUCGGGGGUGAAAGCCCGGGGCUCAACCUCGGAAUUGCCUUCGAUACUGGCUGUCUUGAGUACGGGAGAGGUGUGUGGAACUCCGAGUGUAGAGGUGAAAUUCGUAGAUAUUCGGAAGAACACCAGUGGCGAAGGCGACACACUGGCCCGUUAACUGACGCUGAGGCGCGAAAGCGUGGGGAGCAAACAGG